rnacentral:lncRNA from 1 species
UGGCUUUGAGAGUUUAUGUAGGAUCUCAUUGUUGAAAUAGUUUCAAUAUGAUUUUUGAAUAUAGAAUUAAGUGCUAAGUGAUGAUGAGAUUCAUGUGGUUCUUGCUAUAGAAUUAUAGAACAUUUUAUUUCAAAUUUUCGAUAUGUGUAGAACCAAAUGAAUAAAGUAAUGGGUGCUCUAAUGUUACAGAAUUAAUAGAGUUUUUAAUCAUUCUUUCAGUUGUAUAUUUUACUAAUUUUUUUUUUCUACUUUAUGAAUUCAGGAUUGUUUUUUUUAAGAAAUGAAUUUACGGUUAUUGAUAUAUGUAUUUCUUGAUGCUAUUGAGAUUAUUUUGAAUUAUGAAUGAAAACAAUUUUAAGAUAAUUUAUUUUCCACUCACAGUUGAAUUAGUUUGUGAUCUU